GUGAGGAAUUUUCCGCAACGGGCGAAAGCCUGACGGAGCAAUGCCGCGUGAAGGAUGAAGGCCUAUGGGUUGUAAACUUCUUUUCUCAGAAAAGAAUUAUGACGGUAUCUGAGGAAUAAGCAUCGGCUAACUCUGUGCCAGCAGCCGCGGUAAGACAGAGGAUGCAAGCGUUAUCCGGAAUGAUUGGGCGUAAAGCGUCUGUAGGUUGUUUAAAAAGUAUUCUGUCAAAGAUUAGGGCUUAACCCUAGAUAGGCAGAAUAAACUUUUAAGCUAGAGUUUGGUAGAGGCAGAGGGAAUUCCCGGUGGAGCGGUGAAAUGCGUAGAUAUCGGGAGGAACACCAAAGGCGAAGGCACUCUGCUGGGCCAAUACUAACACUGAGAGACGAAAGCGAGGGGAGCAAAUGGGAUUAGAUACCCUGGUAGUCC
rnacentral:rRNA from 1 species